rnacentral:rRNA from 1 species
CACACGUGUUACAAUGGGUGAUACAGAGGGCCGGCCGCUGGCAACAUCGGUCCAAUCCUUAAAGUCAUCCUCAGUUCGGACCGGGGUCUGCAACCCGACCCCACGAAGCUGGAUUCGCUAGUAAUCGCGCAUCAGCCAUGGCGCGGUGAAUACGUUCCCGGGCCUUGUACACACCGCCCGUCGAGCCAUGAAAGCCGGGGGCGCCUGAAGUCCGUGACCGCGAGGGUCGGCCUAGGGUGAAACCGGUGAUUGGGGCUAAGUCGUAACAAGGUAAC